rnacentral:rRNA from 1 species
CAGCCGCCACGGUAAUACGGAGGGAGCUAGCGUUGUUCGGAAUUACUGGGCGUAAAGCGCACGUAGGCGGAUAUUUAAGUCAGGGGUGAAAUCCCGCAGCUCAACUGCGGAACUGCCUUUGAUACUGGGUAUCUUGAGUAUGGAAGAGGUUAGUGGAAUUGCGAGUGUAGAGGUGAAAUUCGUAGAUAUUCGCAGGAACACCAGUGGCGAAGGCGGCUAACUGGUCCAUAACUGACGCUGAGGUGCGAAAGCGUGGGGAGCAAACAGGAUUAGAUACCCCGGUAGUCCCUGUCUCUUAUAC